rnacentral:rRNA from 1 species
AUUGAACGCUGGCGGCAUGCCCUACACAUGCAAGUCGAACGGUAACGCGGGGCAACCUGGCGACGAGUGGCGAACGGGUGAGUAACGCAUCGGAACGUGCCCAAUAGUGGGGGAUAGCCCGGCGAAAGCCGGAUUAAUACCGCAUACGACCUACGGGUGAAAGCAGGGGAUCGCAAGACCUUGCGCUAAUGGAGCGGCCGAUGCCAGAUUAGGUUGUUGGUGGGGUAAAAGCCCACCAAGCCGACGAUCUGUAGCUGGUCUGAGAGGACGACCAGCCACACUGGGACUGAGACACGGCCCAGACUCCUACGGGAGGCAGCAGUGGGGAAUUUUGGACAAUGGGCGCAAGCCUGAUCCAGCCAUGCCGCGUGCGGGAUGAAGGCCUUCGGGUUGUAAACCGCUUUUGUUAGGGAAGAAAUCUUUUGAGCUAAUACCUCGGAAGGAUGACGGUACCUAAAGAAUAAGCACCGGCUAACUACGUGCCAGCAGCAGCCGCCGUAA